CCUACGGGAGGCAGCAGUGAGGAAUAUUGGUCAAUGGACGAGAGUCUGAACCAGCCAAGUAGCGUGAAGGAUGGCUGCCCUAUGGGUUGUAAACUUCUUUUAUAUGGGAAUAAAACGUUCCACGUGUGGGUUUUUGUAUGUACUAUAUGAAUAAGGAUCGGCUAACUCCGUGCCAGCAGCCGCGGUAAUACGGAGGAUCCGAGCGUUAUCCGGAUUUAUUGGGUUUAAAGGGAGCGUAGGUGGAUUGUUAAGUCAGUUGUGAAAGUUUGCGGCUCAACCGGAAAAUUGCAUUUGAAACUGGCAGUCUUGAGUACAGUUGAGGUGGGCGGAAUUCGUGGUGUAGCGGUGAAAUGCUUAGAUAUCACGAAGAACACCGAUUGCGAAGGCAGUUCACUGAACUGCAACUGACACUGAGGCUCGAAAGUGUGGGUAUCAAACAGGAUUAGAUACCCGGGUAGUC
rnacentral:rRNA from 1 species